AGCGUACACGGUGGAUGCCCUGGCAGUCAGAGGCGAUGAAGGGCGUGCUAAUCUGCGAUAAGCGCCGGUAAGGUGAUAUGAACCGUUAUAACCGGCGAUACCCGAAUGGGGAAACCCAGUGUGAUUCGUCACACUAUCAUUAACUGAAUCCAUAGGUUAAUGAGGCGAACCGGGGGAACUGAAACAUCUAAGUACCCCGAGGAAAAGAAAUCAACCGAGAUUCCCCCAGUAGCGGCGAGCGAACGGGGAGGAGCCCAGAGCCUGAAUCAGCAUGUGUGUUAGUGGAAGCGUCUGGAAAGGCGCGCGAUACAGGGUGACAGCCCCGUACACAAAAGCGCAUGUGCUGUGAGCUCGAUGAGUAGGGCGGGACACGUGGUAUCCUGUCUGAAUAUGGGGGGACCAUCCUCCAAGGCUAAAUACUCCUGACUGACCGAUAGUGAACCAGUACCGUGAGGGAAAGGCGAAAAGAACCCCGGCGAGGGGAGUGAAAAAGAACCUGAAACCGUGUACGUACAAGCAGUGGGAGCACAGGUUUACCUGUGUGACUGCGUACCUUUUGUAUAAUGGGUCAGCGACUUAUAUUCUGUAGCAAGGUUAACCGCAUAGGGGAGCCGGAGGGAAACCGAGUCUUAAUUGGGCGUUAAGUUGCAGGGUAUAGACCCGAAACCCGGUGAUCUAGCCAUGGGCAGGUUGAAGGUUGGGUAACACUAACUGGAGGACCGAACCGACUAAUGUUGAAAAAUUAGCGGAUGACCUGUGGCUGGGGGUGAAAGGCCAAUCAAACCGGGAGAUAGCUGGUUCUCCCCGAAAGCUAUUUAGGUAGCGCCUCGUGAAUUCAUCUCCGGGGGUAGAGCACUGUUUCGGCUAGGGGGCCAUCCCGGCUUACCAACCCGAUGCAAACUGCGAAUACCGGAGAAUGUUAUCACGGGAGACACACGGCGGGUGCUAACGUCCGUCGUGAAGAGGGAAACAACCCAGACCGCCAGCUAAGGUCCCAAAGUCAUGGUUAAGUGGGAAACGAUGUGGGAAGGCCCAGACAGCCAGGAUGUUGGCUUAGAAGCAGCCAUCAUUUAAAGAAAGCGUAAUAGCUCACUGGUCGAGUCGGCCUGCGCGGAAGAUGUAACGGGGCUAAACCAUGCACCGAAGCUGCGGCAGCGACGCUUAUGCGUUGUUGGGUAGGGGAGCGUUCUGUAAGCCUGUGAAGGUGGCCUGUGAGGGUUGCUGGAGGUAUCAGAAGUGCGAAUGCUGACAUAAGUAACGAUAAAGCGGGUGAAAAGCCCGCUCGCCGGAAGACCAAGGGUUCCUGUCCAACGUUAAUCGGGGCAGGGUGAGUCGACCCCUAAGGCGAGGCCGAAAGGCGUAGUCGAUGGGAAACGGGUUAAUAUUCCCGUACUUGGUGUUACUGCGAAGGGGGGACGGAGAAGGCUAUGUUGGCCGGGCGACGGUUGUCCCGGUUUAAGCGUGUAGGUGUGUGUUCCAGGUAAAUCCGGUUCACUUUAACACUGAGGCGUGACGACGAGGCACUACGGUGCUGAAGCAACAAAUGCCCUGCUUCCAGGAAAAGCCUCUAAGCAUCAGGUAACAUCAAAUCGUACCCCAAACCGACACAGGUGGUCAGGUAGAGAAUACCAAGGCGCUUGAGAGAACUCGGGUGAAGGAACUAGGCAAAAUGGUGCCGUAACUUCGGGAGAAGGCACGCUGACACGUAGGUGAAGUGAUUUACUCAUGGAGCUGAAGUCAGUCGAAGAUACCAGCUGGCUGCAACUGUUUAUUAAAAACACAGCACUGUGCAAACACGAAAGUGGACGUAUACGGUGUGACGCCUGCCCGGUGCCGGAAGGUUAAUUGAUGGGGUCAGCGCAAGCGAAGCUCCUGAUCGAAGCCCCGGUAAACGGCGGCCGUAACUAUAACGGUCCUAAGGUAGCGAAAUUCCUUGUCGGGUAAGUUCCGACCUGCACGAAUGGCGUAAUGAUGGCCAGGCUGUCUCCACCCGAGACUCAGUGAAAUUGAACUCGCUGUGAAGAUGCAGUGUACCCGCGGCAAGACGGAAAGACCCCGUGAACCUUUACUAUAGCUUGACACUGAACAUUGAGCCUUGAUGUGUAGGAUAGGUGGGAGGCUUUGAAGUGUGGACGCCAGUCUGCAUGGAGCCGACCUUGAAAUACCACCCUUUAAUGUUUGAUGUUCUAACGUGGACCCGUUACCCGGGUUGCGGACAGUGUCUGGUGGGUAGUUUGACUGGGGCGGUCUCCUCCUAAAGAGUAACGGAGGAGCACGAAGGUUGGCUAAUCCUGGUCGGACAUCAGGAGGUUAGUGCAAUGGCAUAAGCCAGCUUGACUGCGAGCGUGACGGCGCGAGCAGGUGCGAAAGCAGGUCAUAGUGAUCCGGUGGUUCUGAAUGGAAGGGCCAUCGCUCAACGGAUAAAAGGUACUCCGGGGAUAACAGGCUGAUACCGCCCAAGAGUUCAUAUCGACGGCGGUGUUUGGCACCUCGAUGUCGGCUCAUCACAUCCUGGGGCUGAAGUAGGUCCCAAGGGUAUGGCUGUUCGCCAUUUAAAGUGGUACGCGAGCUGGGUUUAGAACGUCGUGAGACAGUUCGGUCCCUAUCUGCCGUGGGCGCUGGAGAACUGAGGGGGGCUGCUCCUAGUACGAGAGGACCGGAGUGGACGCAUCACUGGUGUUCGGGUUGUCAUGCCAAUGGCACUGCCCGGUAGCUAAAUGCGGAAGAGAUAAGUGCUGAAAGCAUCUAAGCACGAAACUUGCCCCGAGAUGAGUUCU
rnacentral:rRNA from 1 species